UCAUUAUUUUGUUACGAUGGCAAUCAAAGCAAUUGAAUUCCAAGAAAAUAAAACUUCAACGACUCAAUCCAGUUAAUUUAUAGUAU